AAUGUUGAAGCACCUCUGGAUAGAUUUAUUGCUCUUCUGUGUGGUUUCUUCCAAAAGAAAAGGGAGUUUGUCAGCAUGUUUCACCUCACGGUGAAAAUCCCAUGUUAGUUCCACUCUGAGCUGGGUGCAAAGGAGUUCAUGUUUGUUUUAAUAUGUGGAUGCUAGUGGAGCCUGGCCAAACAUGGUUGUCUCUGACUUGACCCGUCUAUCAACUCUGUUCCCUGCCAGAUCGCGUCCAAGAUACGUGCACACUGUCCUCACCAUCUUCUAAAUCAGUUCAUUAAGAAUGUUUCAAGAGGAGACUUUUUCUCAUCUUUUAAGCUUUCUGUACUAGAAUUUCUUUCUUUUUAGGUUGCAAAGUAAACAUGGGAAUCGCUUCUUUUUGCUCAGAGUCUGCAGACAGUUUUGAGAGAGAGAAGAGACAAGGAGGAGCGAGGCGUGUCUGUGCUUCAUGGUAUAAUGAUGGAGUACCUUUAUUAGCAUAGUGAGUUUAUUUUCUCAACUUGUCCACCUCCCAGAUUUUCCUUCCAUCCUCUUUCUUUCUCCUCAUUCACACAAUGAACAUCUAAUACCAAGCACAAGGAUUUUUAGAAAAAGAUUCAAUUCGACAAAAAUCUUUUUUUUCUUUUCUUCGGAAUUACAUUAAACUUUGUGAUAUAUUUUUUUUUCUUUUAUUGCCUCAAAGCUGGCAGAAGCUUGGAACCUAAACCGAAGAGUAAAUGAGCAAAAAUCCAAUAAUGCAGGUUCUGAGAAUGUGGAUUGUGAUCAUUUGUGUGAGCGGCACAAUUUAUUCAGAGGAAACCCAAGAAUUAUUGCCUGACCUAAAUGCGAUCCUGGAAAUAAACUCUGACGCACCUGAAAUAGAAAUGGCCACCAGUCAUUCAUCAGGGACUGAUUCAGGGGAGAAGGUUUUGGAUCAGCUUAUCACUGGAACAGAAGUGCAGCCACGACUGGAAUCAGAAAGGAAGACGGAUCAGAGGAAAGCUGAUCGUAAAAAGCUAGAGGUUGUCAGAGGAAGGAGAAGUGCUUGGGGCAGGAGAAGACACGCUGCUACAGUAGAGGCUGCCGCGUAUCGAAUAGCCGGAUUAAGGCAACCUCUGAAAGGCUGGAGACAGAGUGCUAAGGGAGAGAUGGAAACCAGCCUCCUUAUGGCGACACUGAAGGAACUUCAUGCGGAAAAGAAACGACUGAUGGAUAAUGGAAAAACACAAGAGGAAGAGG